GAAAAAAGAAAAACCCACAACUAUGAUUGUCUGUAAACUUUCAGAUACUUAAAGCACUCUCAGAUACUGAAAGUACUUCUUCUUUUUUCCUAAGCAU